rnacentral:rRNA from 1 species
AGGCUGCAACUCGCCUACACGAAGCUGGAAUCGCUAGUAAUCGCGGAUCCAGCACGCCGCGGUGAAUACGUUCCCGGGCCUUGUACACACCGCCCGUCACACCAUGAGAGUCUGUAACACCCAAAGCCGGUGGGAUAACCUUUAUAGGAGUCAGCCGUCUAAGGUAGGACAGAUGAUUAGGGUGAAGUCGUAACAAGGUAGC